rnacentral:rRNA from 1 species
GACGAACGCUGGCGGCGUGCUUAACACAUGCAAGUCGAACGGAAAGGCGCUGCUCUUGUUGGGUGGUCGAGUGGCGAGGGGGUGAGGAACACGUGAGGAAACUGCCCUUGACUUUGGGAUAACUUCACGGAACUGGGGCGAGUAUAGGAUAGGAUCUUCUGCUGCAUUGUGGGGGUUGGUGAGGGUCGGCGGUUGGGGAUGGACUCGCGGGUUAUGAGCUUGUUGGUGGGGUUGGGGCUUACCAGGGCUUUGACGGGUAGCCGGCCUGAGAGGGUGACCGGCCACAUUGGGACUGAGAUACGGCCCAGACUCGUAGGGGAGGCAGCAGUGGGGAAUAUUGCACAACGGGCGGAAGCCUGAUGCAGCAACGCCGCGUGCGGGAUGACGGCCUUCGGGUUGUAAACCGCUUUCGCCUGUGACGAAGCGUGAUUGACGGUAAUGGGUAAAGAAGCACCGGCUAACUACGUG